rnacentral:rRNA from 1 species
GUGGGGAAUUUUGGACAAUGGGCGCAAGCCUGAUCCAGCAAUGCCGCGUGCAGGAAGAAGGCCUUCGGGUUGUAAACUGCUUUUGUACGGAACGAAACGGUCCUGGUUAAUACCCGGGGCUAAUGACGGUACCGUAAGAAUAAGCACCGGCUAACUACGUGCCAGCAGCCGCGGUAAUACGUAGGGUGCAAGCGUUAAUCGGAAUUACUGGGCGUAAAGCGUGCGCAGGCGGUGAUGUAAGACAGUUGUGAAAUCCCCGGGCUCAACCUGGGAACUGCAUCUGUGACUGCAUUGCUGGAGUGCGGCAGAGGGGGAUGGAAUUCCGCGUGUAGCAGUGAAAUGCGUAGAUAUGCGGAGGAACACCGAUGGCGAAGGCAAUCCCCUGGGCCUGCACUGACGCUCAUGCACGAAAGCGUGGGGAGCAAACAGGAUUAGAAACCCCAGUAGUCC